rnacentral:rRNA from 1 species
UACGGGGGGGGCAAGCGUUGUUCGGAAUUACUGGGCGUAAAGGGCUCGUAGGCGGCCAACUAAGUCAGACGUGAAAUCCCUCGGCUUAACCGGGGAACUGCAUCUGAUACUGGAUGGCUUGAGUUCGGGAGAGGGAUGCAGAAUUCCAGGUGUAGCGGUGAAAUGCGUAGAUAUCUGGAGGAAUACCGGUGGCGAAGGCGGCAUCCUGGACCGGCAUUGACGCUGAGUGAGCGAAAGCCAGGGGAGCAAACGGG